rnacentral:rRNA from 1 species
GAUGAACGCUGGCGGCGUGCCUAAUACAUGCAAGUCGAGCGAACAGAUGAGGAGCUUGCUCCUCUGACGUUAGCGGCGGACGGGUGAGUAACACGUGGAUAACCUACCUAUAAGACUGGGAUAACUACGGGAAACCGGAGCUAAUACCGGAUAAUAUAUUGAACCGCAUGGUUCAAUAGUGAAAGACGGUUUUGCUGUCACUUAUAGGUGGAUCCGCGCCGCAUUAGCUAGUUGGUAAGGUAACGGCUUACCAAGGCAACGAUGCGUAGCCGACCUGAGAGGGUGAUCGGCCACACUGGAACUGAGACACGGUCCAGACUCCUACGGGAGGCAGCAGUAGGGAAUCUUCCGCAAUGGGCGAAAGCCUGACGGAGCAACGCCGCGUGAGUGAUGAAGGUCUUCGGAUCGUAAAACUCUGUUAUUAGGGAAGAACAAAUGUGUAAGUAACUAUGCACGUCUUGACGGUACCUAAUCAGAAAGCCACGGCUAACUACGUG